UUUUAAUUGUGACAUCACACAGUUACAUCCCAUAGGUAUCCACUUCCUAUGAGCAUGGCUUAGUUAAGACUUGAUAAGUGUUUGUUCACCCAGGAACAUAUAUUGCUCCUAGGUUCACCUAAUCUUUAAUCAACAUUUCAGUGUAAAAGCAAAGUGUAUUUACCAUUCAUAACUCUCAACCAUGGAAACGAAUUGUAAAUUA
rnacentral:lncRNA from 1 species